rnacentral:rRNA from 1 species
UUCUGCCCUAUGAAUAAUUUAAAUGGCUGCAGUAUUUUAACUGUGCAAAGGUAGCAUAAUAAUUAGUCUUUUAAUUGAUGACUUGUAUGAAUGAGUUAAUGAGAAAUUUAUUUUAUUAAUUUUAAUUUUAGAAUUUAAUUUUUAGGUAAAAAAGCUUAAUUUUUUUUUCGGGACGAUAAGACCCUAUAGAACUUAAAUUUUAAUAAAUUUUAAUUUAUUUUGGAUUUAUAAAUGAUUUAUUUUUAUUAAUUUUUUUGUUGGGGUGACAAAUAAAUUUACUUUAUUUUAUUAAUUCAUUAAUUUAUGUUUAGUUUGAUCCAUUAAUUUUGAUUAAAAAAUAAAGUUACCUUAGGGAUAACAGCGUAAUUUUAAUGGUAAGUUCAUAUUUAUAUUAAAGUUUGCGACCUCGAUGUUGAAUUAAGAUUAAAUUAAGGGGUAG